rnacentral:rRNA from 1 species
GCCCAGCAGUCGCGAAUUUUCACAAUGGGGGAAACCCUGAUGGAGCGACGCCGCGUGGAGGAUGAAGGCCCUCGGGUCGUAAACUCCUGUCAUGCGGGAACAAGAAAGUGAUAGUACCGCAAGAGGAAGAGACGGCUAACUCUGUGCCAGCAGCCGCGGUAAUACAGAGGUCUCAAGCGUUAUUCGGAUUCAUUGGGCGUAAAGGGUGCGUAGGUGGCGAUGUAAGUCUGGUGUGAAAUCUCGGGGCUUAACCCCGAACUGCAUUGGAUACUGCGUUGCUUGAGGAUUGUAGAGGAGAGUGGAAUUCACGGUGUAGCAGUGAAAUGCGUAGAUAUCGUGAGGAAGACCAGUUGCGAAGGCGACUCUCUGGGCAAUUCCUGACACUGAGGCACGAAGGCCAGGGGAGCAAACGGGAUUAGAUACCCGCGUAGU